ensembl:lncRNA
GUGACAGCGGAAGACAGAGGUUGCGUUUGCAGCACGCAUUAUAGAUGCGUUGGAAUGAGCGAAUUUGUGGCAAAAAAACAACAACAUUAAACUCCAAACCAUAAUUCAUAACAUUCAGUUUAUACAGAAAUUAGAGCACCCGUGAAAGUGUCAGUUAUAUGGCCGUUUUCAAGAGUGUAGCCGGUGCCCUAUUUUUAUCUUUCAGCUUGUGUGCGUCACGAAUCCAGUGGCUGCGGUGACACUUAGCGUUGAUUUCGAGGUUACACACACAAGCUCAAACGUACAGGACUAUGAUUGGAACGCAAAACAAACAUGUCCUGCUCUCCUUCAGAAGCUUGCAGUGUUGGUUGCUGCUGGAUGCGUUGUGUGCCGCUGUAGGGAGUGUCUCUGUACUGAGGAAAUUCUUCUCAGGAAGUGGCGUAUAGGGACAGCUCGUCCAGCUGGGCACGAAUCACCCAUGAAUCUCCAGCGGUAUAGCGAGGGGGCAGGAAAUAGAACAGGAGGCGUUAACCUGAUAAGACUGCUGUUGCAGAGCGGGGACACUCUGUGUCUCUCUUUCUCCCUCCCUCUCUCAUUCUCUC